AAUUUAUAAUUUUGUAUAUCGUUGUUAUAAAAAUAUUUUUUAAUAAGAUUAAUAUUUGAGAAUUAAAAUAUAAAUUUAAAUCAGAUCAAGAUGCAGUUUAUAAUUAAGAAUAUAAUGGAUUACAAUAAAUUUAUUUAAAUGGAUUUUAAUUUUUAAUAGUUAAUUGAAGGUGGAUUUAAAUGUAAUUUUAUUUAAUUUAUUAAAAUGAUUAAAAAUUAAAAUAUGU
rnacentral:rRNA from 1 species